GAUGAACGCUAGCGGCAGGCUUAAUACAUGCAAGUCGAGGGCUCAGCAAUGGGACCGGCGCACGGGUGCGUAACACGUAUGCAACCUGCCUGUAUCUGGGGGAUAGCCCGAGGAAACUCGGAUUAAUACCGCAUACCACUGAGGGUCGGCAUCGAUUUUCAGUGAAAGAUUUAUCGGAUACAGAUGGGCAUGCGCAGGAUUAGCUAGUUGGUAAGGUAACGGCUUACCAUGGCAACGAUAGGUAGGGGUCCUGAGAGGGAGAUCCCCCACACUGGUACUGAGACACGGACCAGACUCCUACGGGAGGCAGCAGUGAGGAAUAUUGGACAAUGGGCGCAAGCCUGAUCCAGCCAUGCCGCGUGCAGGAAGAAGCAUCUAUGGUGUGUAAAACUGCUUUUAUACAGGAAGAAACCCUACACGUGUGGUAGAUUGACGGUACUGUAGGAAUAAGGAUCGGCUAACUCCGUGCCAGCAG
rnacentral:rRNA from 1 species